AGCAGUAGCCACGGGAAUACGAAGGGUGCAAGCGUUAAUCGGAAUUACUGGCGUAAAGCGCACGUAGGCGGAUUCUUAAGUCAGAGGUGAAAUCCCAAGGCUCAACCUUGGAACUGCCUUUGAUACUGGGGAUCUCGAGUCCGGGAGAGGUGAGUGGAACUGCGAGUGUAGAGGUGAAAUUCGUAGAUAUUCGCAAGAACACCAGUGGCGAAGGCGGCCAUCUGGGACAACACUGACGCUGAGGCACGAAAGCGUGGGGAGCAAACAGGAUUAGAUACCCCCGUAGUCCCUGUCUCUUAUACA
rnacentral:rRNA from 1 species